rnacentral:rRNA from 1 species
UAGAGUUUGAUCCUGGCUCAGAAUGAACGCUGGCGGCGUGCUUAACACAUGCAAGUCGUACGAGAACGUCUUAGCUUGCUAAGACUAUUAAAGUGGCGCACGGGUGAGUAACGCGUGGGUAAUCUCCCUUCGAAUUGGGGAUAACGUUGCGAAAGCGACGCUAAUACCGGAUAAUAUCCAUUAUUCUUCGGGAUUUUGGAUCAAAGGUGGCCUCUACUUGUAAGCUACUGUUUGAAGAUGAGCCCGCGUACCAUUAGCUUGUUGGUGGGGUAAAGGCCUACCAAGGCUACGAUGGUUAGCUGGUCUGAGAGGAUGAUCAGCCACACUGGAACUGACACACGGUCCAGACUCCUACGGGAGGCAGCAGUGAGGAAUUUUGCGCAAUGGGGGAAACCCUGACGCAGCAACGCCGCGUGAGUGAUGAAGGCUUUCGGGUCGUAAAGCUCUGUCAAGUGGGAAGAACCUAUACAGUGUUAAUACCACUGUGUACUGACGGUACCACUGAAGGAAGCACCGGCUAACUCCGUGCCAGCAGCCGCGGUAAUACGGGGGGUGCAAGCGUUAUUCGGAAUCAUUGGGCGUAAAGGGCACGUAGGCGGCUUGGUUAGUCAGAUGUGAAAGCCCGGGGCUUAACCCCGGAAGUGCAUUUGAUACUGCCAGGCUUGAGUAUGGGAGAGGGAAGUGGA